CAGCCGCCACGGUAAUACGGAGGGUGCAAGCGUUAAUCGGAAUUACUGGACGUAAAGCGCACGCAGGCGGUCUGACAAGUCAGAUGUGAAAUCCCCGGGCUUAACCUGGGAACUGCAUUUGAAACUGUCAGGCUGGAGUCUUGUAGAGGGGGGUGGAAUUCCAGGUGUAGCGGUGAAAUGCGUAGAGAUCUGGAGGAAUACCGGUGGCGAAGGCGGCCCCCUGGACAAAGACUGACGCUCAGGUGCGAAAGCGUGGGGAGCAAACAGGAUUAGAUACCCGCGUAGUCCCUGUCUCUUAUAC
rnacentral:rRNA from 1 species